UACGUAGGGGGCAAGCGUUGUCCGGAAUCAUUGGGCGUAAAGCGCGUGUAGGCGGCUCGGUAAGUCUGCUCUGAAAGCCCGGGGCUCAACCCUGGGAGGCGGGUGGAUACUGCUGAGCUCGAGUCCGGAAGAGGCGAGUGGAAUUCCUGGUGUAGCGGUGAAAUGCGCAGAUAUCAGGAGGAACACCAACGGCGAAGGCAGCUCGCUGGGACGGUACUGACGCUGAGACGCGAAAGCGUGGGGAGCAAACAGG
rnacentral:rRNA from 1 species